UACGAGUGCCCCAAGCGUUAUCCGGAAUUAUUGGGCGUAAAGGGUCAGUAGGCGGUUCUGUUAGUCUUCUGUCAAAUUCUUCGGCUUAACCGGGGGUCCGCAGGGGAAACGGCAGAACUUGAGGAUGCGAGAGGUGAAUGGAACUCAUAGUGUAGGGGUGAAAUCCGUUGAUAUUAUGGGGAACACCAAAUGCGAAGGCAACUCACUGGCGCACUCCUGACGCUGAAUGACGAAAGCGUGGGUAGCGAAUGGG
rnacentral:rRNA from 1 species